CCUGCCCCUAGAGGCGGUGCAGGUGUGGCUGCUUUGUCACAUAUGCAUCCGUAGGUGGCAGGGCGGAGAGAAGCUGUGUCUAUGUUCAGUGCUCUGACCUGUGAACAUCUGAGUGAUUAUUAACACCCCCCU